CCUACAGGGCUCUUCCCGCUGUUGCUUCUUCUAUUUUUAUAUUUCACUUGGCUCUCUAAAUUUUGUUUCAGCACUAGGUAAGGUUAAAUUUUUCUCCCAUGAUCUGGAUUUUUAGGUUCUCCAGUGAGGAUGUGUGUUUGAAGGUGGAUUUUCCCCCUCUCGCACUUUGGGCACUCACAGUUUUUCUGCUGUCUCAUGGAUUUUGCAGCAGCAAGCCACUUCUUUUAAAGGGUCUGUGAAUUCUUUCAGUUUUCCUAGUAUGUUCCUGCAGUAGUUCUUGGAGUAAAAAUUCACAAUAUGAACAAAUUGAUUGAAUAUUACCAGCAGCUUGCUCAGAAAGAGAAGGUUGAGCGAGAUCGCAAGAAAUUGGCACGACG
rnacentral:sRNA from 1 species